AACGAACGCUGGCGGCAUGCCUAACACAUGCAAGUCGAACGAAGGCUUCGGCCUUAGUGGCGCACGGGUGCGUAACGCGUGGGAAUCUGCCCCUCGGUUCGGAAUAACAGUUAGAAAUGACUGCUAAUACCGGAUGAUGACUUCGGUCCAAAGAUUUAUCGCCGAGGGAUGAGCCCGCGUAAGAUUAGGUAGUUGGUGGGGUAAAGGCCUACCAAGCCGACGAUCUUUAGCUGGUCUGAGAGGAUGAUCAGCCACACUGGGACUGAGACACAGACCAGACUCCUACGGGAGGCAGCAGUGGGGAAUAUUGGACAAUGGGCGAAAGCCUGAUCCAGCAAUGCCGCGUGAGUGAUGAAGGCCUUAGGGUUGUAAAGCUCUUUUACCAGGGAUGAUAAUGACAGUACCUGGAGAAUAAGCUCCGGCUAACUCCGUGCCAGCCGCCGCCGUAA
rnacentral:rRNA from 1 species